GCCAGGGUGGCGUAGUGGUUAUCGCACUGCUUAAUAAGCAGGAGAUCUGGGUUCAAAUCCCGGCCUUGGUA